UCAUGUAAUUUACAUCUGGUAUUUUAUAUAAGCAUAAGCCAAGAUGAUAACAGAAUGCUAAAAUAAAACAAUAUGUGCUAUUCAGGGAAAAAUCUCAUUCCAAAUCCUGUAUGCAGCAUGCAUCAGCCCCAGUGAAACUGAGAGAAGCCCAUUAAGAAAUCCGAUUAGCUGUCUGCUCUCUAGAUGUUCAUGUCCAUGGAGAGACCUGGCUGAAUGAAGCCUGUGGAGCACUGCAAUAGCAAUCGAGAUGAAGUGCCACAUGGGAACUGAACUUUUCAUCAGCUCUUGCCACAUAAAUAUAGUCCUGAAUCUUUUGAAGGUGUCAUCUGUUGGUGAUUGCUUCCCAUCAGUGUUUGUUGAUCUUCUAUUCCUUUCACUCAGAGGGGGUGAAUUUAGACUGCAGCAGUUUUGAUAAUUUGGGGUUUCUUAAUUGUUGCAUACUCUUUGCUUGUGGGUUCCAUUAAGUUACUGGGGUCUCGGCCAAACUUUGUAUCUUAUUUUGUAUUUCAUUCUAUACUUGCUGUUUUGAAAUAUAUUAAUAGUGUCAUUUCUGUUUAGGUUUAUGAACAAUUUUGAUCUGUUUUUAGCCUCCUCAGCUGAUUGAAACUUCAGCUUGCCCUCAAGGAAAGUGAGGUGAUACCUGUGGUACAGCAUGAUAGAUAAGAGGUUAUGCUUCACUCUCCCUGUUCUCAGAAAUCUGCUUUGUAGUUGUAGUUCUAGUUUCAAAUCUCGGUUAAUUUGUGAAAAGAAAUCUCACUUCUCUCUGGGAAAGAGGGGUAAGCAAUGGCUGAUGGCCUGUAUCAUAGGAGGAGUAAGCAGAUCUGAUGCCUCCAGGCCUUUGUAGAAAAAAGAUGGUUCUCAGAGUCCUGCUGGAGGUGGUGUGUACUCAAAAUAUGUUUUGAGGUGUCCUCACCUCAAAAUGCACAGAAUGUACUUGUUGAUUCUCUAGGGUUUUGGAGACACAUGCUCCAGGAGUAUGGGUACAGUACACUUGGUAUUAUUUAGAAUAUUUAGGUUUUGGUCUGGUUAGUAAGAGGCUCUGUUAAGCCACUGCCUGGUUUUCUGCUCAGAUACUUAGUUUAUUUCCCCCUCUGUGUUGAACCUCCAUUCUUUUUCUCAGUGUCAUCUCUUCUUCCCAGUUCAAAUUAGUUACAGUUUUGGAGGAAAUUAAUAUUUUCCUUUUCUUUACACUUACACCAGAAAUUCAAAGGACAAAAUUCCUCUUCUUCACUUUCAGGAGUGAAGUGUUAUGUUAUAGUACCCUUGGAUUAAAUACUGAGGUUGCUAAUCUACUUCCUGGACUACAGUUCUUGUAUAGAGGAACAGCUUGUUUGGAGCAGUAUUCACAGAAUCAUUUCACUCACUAUUUUCAAGUCAGUACCGCAACCUUAUGUAAGCCAGUCUCCAUCCACUUAACUCCAGGACAAAUGCAGUGAUUAAUAUUUAUAUAAAAGCUUUCAUGUUUCCACAGUGAAAUUGUCUCACUUUGAAAAGAAAAGGUGUCUUUUUCCCUGUCGACUUGGUGUGAAAAAGCUUGCAAAGGCUUCCAGCAGCACUGCAUCCGAGACAGGCAUCAGCAGAAGGACUGAGGUCAUCUUUAAUUCGUUUCUUGCACAGCCAGCCACUCAACGGAAAAGAUUUCUUCAGCCUCUUGUUUCAAAAGACCUCGGAGAUCUUCUGCUGUUCCACUCCCUUUGGUCCCACACUUCAGCAAUAAAAAGAUCCAAAGAGGAGGAUGAGGCAGCUUAGAGGAAAACCUAAAAAAGAGACCUCCAAAGAUAAAAAGGAGAGAAAGCAGGCAAUGCAAGAGGCCCGGCAACAGAUCACCACCGUGGUGCUUCCCACACUGGCUGUCGUAGUACUGCUGAUUGUUGUGUUUGUUUAUGUAGCGACUCGUCCAAAUACAACUGAAUGAUGCAGCUUUUCAGACUCCCUAGCUUUGGGAUAUUAAUUUUACCAAGAGCCAAAAGGAACACUCUGCCACUCUUUUAGUACUUUGCAAAGGAUCUUGCUGGUAUUUUCAGUCUUUCUCUUGGCUACAGUCCCACAGAUUCUCUUUAGGAAUGUAACAUAAAACGUAUUAGUGAAUGUGCCAGUACGUUUUAUGGUCGAGUUAUGUGCCUUUCAGACUUUUAAAAAUGGUGUUUUUCUUAAAGCUGUUUGAAGCUCUAUAUUGUAAAAGGAAAUCGUGUUCUGCUAUAAAUUUGUAAAAAAUCAGCUUUCAGCUUUUAUCACUGUUAUGGAUAAUGUUGCUCCCAUGAGCUCUUGUAUGUCUAUUUCAGAACUUCCAAAGAAGUACAUUUCUUCUUUGUACUUAAUGUCAUAUGAAGUGCUUUGAUUCAGAAAGGAUAUAUUUAUUUUUUGAAUAAAAGAAGUCUUACUUGGAAUCUUCAAAUUAUUUUGCAAAAAAAAUGUGACAUUGUGAAAGCCUACAUUGUGUAAUAAUUUUUUCAUCAACCACUAUAUAGUUCACUCAAAAAGAAUUUCUUUUUGGUGCGAGAUGCCAACAUGCAAAGUGAAUACUUCAGGAUCUUCUGGAUGGGAUCUUAUAGAAUUUGGACAGGGAGAUUCUGCCACAUUAUGGUGAAGUAACUAGUAACAAACUACAUAAACACAGAUAGUUGCUUAUCUGAAUGUUCAAUAUUUAAAACUGUGUAAGUGGCAAUAAAAAGGUGGUUUGGCAUACA